rnacentral:antisense_RNA from 1 species
ACACGUAGUACACCACGCUCUGGCCCGCCGUGAAGUGCUGCUCCGCCGUCUCCAGGAAGCGCUCCAGGUACUUUUCCAGUGACCCUGGCCUGCUCCUCCAUCACGGGAUCAUUGCAGCAGCACUCUUCAUGCUCCUGGUCACUUCCUCCACAGCCCCAGAGUCAUCUCAUAACAAGUCACCCUGCCUUAACAGUUUCCACGUCACACAAACAGGUCUUCAGACUAAGAGGAACUGGACACCAGGAGCCUCAUACCAGGACUGCCCAGCCGAGCCACUCGAUUCCUGACCCACAUGGCCCUUGAGAUGACAAGUGAUUGCUGCUUAAAGUCACUGAGUUCUGGAGUAAUUUACAUCACGGCAAUAGGUAACUAAUGCAGAUUCUGGUACCUGGAAAAGGAGUGGUGACAUAAAACAGCUCUAUAGAUGUGGGCAUGGCCUCAGAACUGGCCACAGGCAGGAGCCGGAAGGACUCUGUGGAAAGCAUGAGUGUCUAAGGUGCUUUGAGAGACUGUAUAUAGAAGUCUCAUGGCCUUUAGGGAAGCUGCUGGGGAGGCCUAAAGGAAAGUGAGGAAACUCUUAGUGGAGAUUGGAAGAAACAGGGUCUCUGUUAUGAAAUAAAAGAACAUUUUGUAAAAA